CACCUGCCUCACCUGGCCCCUUAUGACUAACAGUGCACAUUUGUGAGACAGUUGUCUGCAGAGGUAGUGACCAACAUCACCCAUGUGAGAGAUGGCAAAUGCUUUUGUACUUGGGUCUGCACCCAAGUGGGAGGCAGCCAGCAGCCUGAAGCUAAGGAAGAGCUGUUUGGGGGUUCCAAGAAGCUAACUAACUGCCUUCUAUAGAAACCUGUGACUCUGUCUUCUUUGUACCGAGUUCUAACUAGCUGAACAGAAAGAGUGAAUGUGAAGUUCAGAGAAUCUUGACAGAACCUAAGAAGAGUUAAAGGAUGAAGGGGCCACUGCCAGGAGAUGCCGAGAAACUCUUUACUGAUGAUAUUACAUUCUGGAACAAAGGUAGGGGAUCCUGAGGAACAGAACCCUCUCUCUGUAAGCCAGGCUUUGACUUGAAAAUAAUGAAAAGGGAGCCACAGGAUUCAACAUUUUAUCUCUUUCCACACUUUUAAGAAGAUCUGGAAUCCUACAACUCAAGGUGAUAACUUCUGGGUCCCUCUAGGGCUUCCUUCUUGAAGAAAUCGAUUUUCCUGACCUGGGCUUUUGGGAUCAGGGAAGCCUAGGCUGCUAAAAAGCCAUAUAAAAUCCCAAAUGGAAAUCUUAACUGAUCAUAGACCCCAUCCCAUCCCACAUGUUCUCAUGAGGAGCAUCAUGAACAGGUGUGAAGUUCUCCAUCUUCUAUACCUUUCCUGACUUCUUCAGGUGCCCCUUGGAGGAGGUAUACACUGAACUCCCAUUUUCCAGUUCUCCUAGACCCUUUGAUGAUAGUUCCUCAGCAUCUGCAUCUGUGACCUGGCAGAAUCUUGGGAGAAGCCUUGGGGAAAUCUGGCAGAAAGGAUGUUAAAAGGAAGGAGGGACUGGGAGGAGCUGAGAAAGGAGGCCUGGGGGAGAUGGGGCUGUGUUAUAUAGAGCAGAUGGGAGCUUCCCAGAUCCACCCUGUAAAGAAUAGUCCAGGUGUUCCUCCCCCAACUCCUUCAGUUUACUGAAUGAAGAAAUGUACCAGGCAGAGAGGAAGCUCAGACUCUCCAGGGAGUGCCAAGCAGAAGAUGGGAUGAAAGGGGACUGGAAUUGCUGGGAUUUUAUCACAAAACAAAAAUAAUGCCACCUGAAUAAAACUACAGGUAACUGCUAGGUGGUGUAAUCAGUAAAAGAACAAUAUGGAGAAUUGUAGAAUUAGGAAAAAAGUAGCUAAUAAUGAUAUCAAGUCAUUUGUAUUUAGCAUUUUUCAUUAGGUUUUCACAACAAUCCUGAGAGGCAAGUUAGGCAAGUAUUUAUCUUCCCCAUUUGACAGAAAAGGAAGAAUCCCAGAGUGGUUAAAAAAAAAAAAAACUUGACUGAAGGUCAAGUCAUUAGGAAAUGGAAGAACCAAGAUCCAGAACUCUUGAUCCAAAUCCACUGAUCUUUUACUAUACCAUAAUGUAGCAAAUAUAAAUGCAACUAUGGAAGAAUGUGUAAUAAUGCAAAGUGAAGAAAGCAGAGUCAAUAGAAUUUUAAAAGAAUCAGUGUGGUUCCCUGACAGACAAUGGAUUGGAAACCAGAAGUUUUGAGUUUGAAUCCCGUAAUGCAAAGUGAAGAAA